rnacentral:misc_RNA from 1 species
GAUGAAGAACGUAGCGAAAUGCGAUAAGUAAUGCGAAUUGCAGAAUUCAGUGAAUCAUCGAAUCUUUGAACGCACAUUGCGCCCGCUGGUAUUCCGGCGGGCAUGCCUGUUCGAGCGUCAUUUCAACCCUCAAGCUCUCCGGAGUUUGGUGUUGGGGCGCCUGGGGCUUUUCGACCUCAGGGCCCUCAAGUCCAUCGGCGGGACCGCCAGGACACUGAGCGCAGUAGUAUUAUUUCGCUCGGUAGGAUCUUCCACGGCGGGUCGAUCUGGCCGCUAAACCCCCCAAUUCUCACCAAAGGUUGACCUCGGAUCAGGUAGGAAUACCCGCUGAACUUAAGCAUAUCAAUAAGCGGAGGA